rnacentral:rRNA from 1 species
UUUUAUGGAGAGUUUGAUCCUGGCUCAGGAUGAACGCUGGCGGCGUGCCUAAUACAUGCAAGUCGAGCGAACGGAUGAGAAGCUUGCUUCUCUGAUGUUAGCGGCGGACGGGUGAGUAACACGUGGAUAACCUACCUAUAAGACUGGGAUAACUUCGGGAAACCGGAGCUAAUACCGGA